UCGAUAGGAGGCCAAUUCUGCUGC
rnacentral:siRNA from 1 species